ACAAAGGUCACAAAAAACCAUUUUCUCAUUAAAAAAAAAUAAAAUUUUUUGUUUGGCUUUCGCCGACGUCUUAAAAGAACUCUGGCUUUUUUUAUUGGUGGAAUUGAUUAAAAAUAAAAAGUGCAACAUAAACUUUACGCGAUAUUACGUCGAAAUAAGAUGUUUGUAUGUAGAGUGUGUGUGUAGAGUUUUACGAUUUUGCAAAUUUGCAACACGAAGAGCCCCAAUAUGAGAGUGAAAAAACUGUUCUCAAAGAGAUCAGAAGCGAUUUCAUUUGGUGUAAAGCUUAGUCGCUCGCGUUUUGGGGACUGGGCCCCACAAAUCUUUGUCUCGAUAAAAAAAAACAUUUAUUUGGCUAUAGCCGAAGUUUUAAAAGAACGCUGGUGUUUUCAUUGCGAAUUUUUUGUGUUUGUGUAGUGUUUUACGAUACGGCCAAAUUGCAACACAAAGAGACAAAAUGUGGGAGUGAGUUUACAAGUAAAACAUAAACUAUGCGAUGUUGCGUUGAAAUUAUAUGUAUGUAUGUAGUGCGUGUGUAUUUGCCCAAUAUGUGUAUGUUGAGUUUUACCAAUUUCCAAAUUUGUAACAAGAAGAGCCCUAAUAUCAGAGUGAAUAAACUGCUCCCAAAGAGAUCAGAAGCGAUUGUCAUGCCGGACAAAUAAAAAUGUGUUUCAUUUGGUGUAAAGCUUAGUUGCUCGCGUUUUGAGGCUGGGCCCCACAAAUUUUUGUCUCGGUAAAAAAAAAAACAUUUGUUAUUUGACUAUCGCCGAAGUUUUCAAGGAACGCUGGUAUUUUUAUUGUGAAUUUUUUGUGUUUGUGUAGUGUUUUACAAUUCGGCCAAAUUGCAACACAAAGAGACGGGUAUUUUGUCUCUUUGCGAUUUUCGUGCCGGAUAAAUGGAAAUGCGGUCGAUCGCGGUUUGCGGGACUGGGUGCUAAAACCAUUGCCUCAAUAAAAACAAAAACACUUGUGGUUUGGUUUGCGAACACUGAUGUCUCGGUAAAAAAAAAACAUUUGUUAUUUGACUAUCGCCGAAGUUUUCAAGGAACGCUGGUAUUUUUAUUGUGAAUUUUUUGUGUUUGUGUAGUGUUUUACAAUUCGGCCAAAUUGCAACACAAAGAGACGGGUAUUUUGUCUCUGCGAUUUUCGUGUCGGAAAAAUGGAAAUGCGGUCGAUCGCGGUUUGCGGGACUGGGUGCUAAAACCAUUGCCUCAAUAAAAACAAAAACACUUGUGGUUUGGUUUGCGAACACUGAUAUAUUCUAUUACAAAGUUACAAUUUAAAGUGCUCGAUUAAAUGUCUGCGAAUUCAGAGAAUACGGAGUAAAUAUGCAAUUAUUGGUACAUAACAUGAAUUUAUGGUCGGUGCUGUGAUGUAGAUGCAGUGACAAGGAAAACAAUACAGAACAGCAAUUCCACUAGUGCAAAUAAGUGGAUUGUUGAACGCAUAAAUGUUUCGAGUUCUUGCUUGAGAGGUCCUCCGAAGAUUUGAAAUGUUAAAUUGCUAUGCUCAUAUAGCAUCCAAACAUGCAGAGGCCAACAACAGUUUAUGCUAAGGAAAAUAGCACUGGCUAAUAAGGUUCAAUGAGUCCAUUUGGUAUGUACAACAAGCUGCCAUAGGAUUGAUUUCUCUUUGAUCUAUCUAUCCAAACUCGUUAUAACUUGUUCAAAACCGAGAUUGCCCACCACUGUUAUAUCACAGAUCAAUUUUCUUAUGGAUAGGAAAACGUAUCAAUAAAAAGAGCCUUUCUUAAACUUAAAAAUGUUUGGAGAUGCAGUGACAUCU